UUUUUCACCACAUAUUUUGUACUUUUAAAAUUUCUAUGUCAAGUCUAGAUACAAUAUAUAUUUAAGUCUAUGGAUGUGACACAUGAAAUUCUCAAAGAUUUGCAAUUUAACUCUUUUUGUCAUUUUAAUACAUAACUACAAAUACAGUUAUUACAUUCUUUACCACUAUAAAACAAAUUAGGCUAUAAUCAUAAUUGUUUCAUAAAAU